UACGGAGGGGGCUAGCGUUGUUCGGAAUUACUGGGCGUAAAGCGCACGUAGGCGGCUUUGUAAGUUAGAGGUGAAAGCCCGGGGCUCAACUCCGGAAUUGCCUUUAAGACUGCAUCGCUAGAACGUCGGAGAGGUAAGUGGAAUUCCGAGUGUAGAGGUGAAAUUCGUAGAUAUUCGGAAGAACACCAGUGGCGAAGGCGACUUACUGGACGACCGUUGACGCUGAGGUGCGAAAGCGUGGGGAGCAAACAGGG
rnacentral:rRNA from 1 species